rnacentral:sRNA from 1 species
GUCUUUUAAUGAGACAUCAGACAAAAGCAGAAUAUCAAAGUUAAAGGCGCAGAUUUCUGCGCCUUUUUU